rnacentral:rRNA from 1 species
GCCUUAGUAACGGCGAGUGAAGCGGCAACAGCUCAAAUUUGAAAUCUGGCCCCAGGCCCGAGUUGUAAUUUGCAGAGGAUGCUUUUGGCGCGGUGCCUUCCGAGUUCCCUGGAACGGGACGCCAUAGAGGGUGAGAGCCCCGUCUGGUUGGAUACCAAGCCUUUGUAAAGCUCCUUCGACGAGUCGAGUAGUUUGGGAAUGCUGCUCUAAAUGGGAGGUAUAUGUCUUCUAAAGCUAAAUACCGGCCAGAGACCGAUAGCGCACAAGUAGAGUGAUCGAAAGAUGAAAAGCACUUUGGAAAGAGAGUUAAACAGCACGUGAAAUUGUUAAAAGGGAAGCGUUUAUGACCAGACUUGGGCCGGUUAAUCAUCCAGCGUUCUCGCUGGUGCACUUUGCCGGUCCAGGCCAGCAUCAGUUCGCUGCGGGGGAUAAAGGCGUCGGGAAUGUGGCUCCUCUGGAGUGUUAUAGCCCUUCGCGCAAUACCCUGCGGUGGACUGAGGUUCGCGCAUCUGCAAGGAUGCUGGCGUAAUGGUCAUCAACGACCCGUCUUGAAACACGGACCAAGGAGUCGUCUUCGUAUGCGAGUGUUCGGGUGUAAAACCCCUACGCGUAAUGAAAGUGAACGCAGGUGAGAGCUUCGGCGCAUCAUCGACCGAUCCUGAUGUUCUCGGAUGGAUUUGAGUAAGAGCAUACGGGGCCGGACCCGAAAGAAGGUGAACUAUGCCUGUAUAGGGUGAAGCCAGAGGAAACUCUGGUGGAGGCUCGCAGCGGUUCUGACGUGCAAAUCGAUCGUCAAAUA